rnacentral:rRNA from 1 species
UCGGGAAUUUUGGGCAAUGGGCGAAAGCCUGACGGAGCGACACCGCGUGCAGGAUGAAGGCCUUCGGGUUGUAAACUGCUGUCACGCCAUAGGAAUGUCUGGUCGUUAAUAGCGGCCAGAUUGACCAAAGCGAGAGGAAGCGCCGACUAACUCCGUGCCAGCAGCCGCGGUAAGACGGAGGGCGCAAGCGUUGUUCGGAAUUACUGGGCGUAAAGCGCGGGCAGGCGGUCUGUUAAGUCGUUUGUGAAAAUCCGGGGCUCAACCCCGGAAAUGCAUACGAUACUGGCAGGCUGGAGACUGGUAGAGGCUAGCGGAAUUCCUGGUGUAGCGGUGGAAUGCGUAGAUAUCAGGAAGAACACCUGUGGCGAAGGCGGCUAGCUGGGCCAGUUCUGACGCUCAUCCGCGAAAGCGUGGGGAGCAAACAGGAUUAGAUACCCAUGUAGUCCCUGAGCGGGCUGGCAAGGCGCAU